CCUUCUUUACCCAGAAUGUCUAUCUCUCUUUCUUUGAAGAGAAGAUCACAACAAAAAGCAGGCAAUUCUGAACUAAAGCAUUUGUUCCCAUAGAAAGAAUUUCAAGGACAGAAAGGUGAAACACAUGUAUCUAACUUAAUUACUGCCUCAUCCCAACCAAAGAAAAAAGAAAAAAAGACUGGGAAAGCUUUAGUACAAUACUUUGGACAACUGCCUAAUACUGCAUUCAGGUAAGUGGUUUGGCUAUAUGGUAAUCAUUGACAUAAGGCACUAUGUCUUGCAAGGUUGUCAUCAUUGCUCCAUUUGUGAGUGUGUUUGUGGGGAAGUUUUCAUGCAAAACCCUGACCCUCAUUAAAGAGAGUCAUAUUCCAAAUCAUCUUGUAACCAGCCCUCACUGAAACCUUCUCUAUGUCAGUUUUUCCUGAUACCAUCAUCAUCACCAUCACAAAAAUUCCUUUCUGUAACCUUUAAAUACUAGAAUUGAUUUGACAUCCCAUGCUAAAUCUCUUUUAGCAAAAAGCUGACUAAACUUAAACCUUAAAUCCCAUCCCAUUAGUGUAUCCAUGAAGAAUAUGAUGAGUUUUAACAAAAUUCCAGGACUUACGAGACAUAUCACAUAAUAUAAAGGAAAAUACUUAGAAGGCAUUGUUCGCUCUUCUGCAUAUAAAAUCUAUAUUCUUUGUAUUCACACUAUACACAUUUUAAUUGAUGGCGAUCUACUCUGAAUUUGAAGCAGGGCUGAAUAAAGCGAAGCCCCCCCAGUUCACUUUGUUAUGCACACCAUUCUUCACUGCUGGUUAUAAUGGGUAGGCUAAUGGGAGAUACAGUCCAUUGGUGCAGAAAACUGGGAGAUGAAGUUCAACAACAUUUGAUGUACAGUCCUUUGCCUGCCCCUGAGCUAAAGAUUAGGUUUCGUCAUGCUAUGCUCCUAUAUUUUCCAUAACAAGGACUAGUUAAUCAAUGCUAGGAUGGUAAUCCUGUGGCUUAUAGGCUUCAUAUUCCCCAUGAUUUUUUUUCAGCUUCCAAGACCUCUUCAGUCUUCCUGAAGCUCUCCUUCUUCAAAAAUAGGAGGAGCUUUCUGGGAUGAUGAUUUUGUCUUUUAAAAAAGUAUAAGGCAAAACCACACACCCAAAAAGAUUUCUGCCAAACUUGAAAUGGACUUCCAGCCACUUUGGGUUUUUUUUUCCCUGUUGGUGUAUGGGGUUUUCUGGGUUGGUGCUUGUCCUCUGGAGCUUGUCCACCUGUGACUAACACUAUUUUUCUAUAUAUUCUUUCAUCUCAACUAUCCUGCCAGUCACACUCAACUGAAAUCAGGUGAAUAGAUAAAGAUCUAAGAAAGAGAGCAAUGCAGUCCCUAUUUGGCUGGGACAAGAUUGUUGGUGUUGUUGUGUGCUUUCAAGUGAUUUCCGACCUACGGCAACCCUAAGACGAACCGUUUCUUGCUUCAGAUCUGAAGAUUGGCUGAAGAAGUCAGGUAAAGAAUCAAUAUUUGACUGAGGAUGGUCCUACACAAAUCACAUAAUGCAGUUUGAAGACAACAGAGAGCAAGGUGUCCACAAAAUGUACACCUUCAAUGUUUGCUGCAUCAUGUAUCAAGCAAGAAACAGUGCAUUAAAAAUAUCACCACAAAGUCUGGAAUAAGUAAAAAAUCGCAUUUCAGCCGAUCAGAGUACAGCCCAUAUAGAGCUUGAAAGCUGAUGGGAAAAUACAGAGCUCUUGUUAGGACACCACUGGCAUUGAUGAAGCCUAUGAAACACUGAAACAUAGCUUGCCAGAAGAUAAGCAGUUACUACCCCAGAAGUGAAACUACAUCAUUUCCAUGGAGACUCUUACUUUUUACUCCUUAGUUCUCAUUUUCUGUGCCUUGCCACAGUCCAGGGCUGAUCCCAAAUGGACAUGGAGAUAUACAUCAGUACAUCCCAGUAGACUUGGUAAGGAUAAAAUCAAUUCUUGGGUUCAGUUCCAAUCCAUAAUCAACUGAUAUUGUGGUCACCAGCUUAGCCUCAAAUUGGUUCCUGGGGUGUUUGUGUAUUGGAAAGUGGAACCAAUUCCUUUCAAUCCACUUCCUAACUUAGAUUUAAUGCCUGUGUAGAACCACUUGUGUUGAACUGCAUGACAAUUCUACAACAUGUUUUUUCUUUUUGCACUGCAACAAGAUUUCAGGUCCUCUUGAAGUGUGUAAGUAAAUAAAAUAACAAAAAAUAAA